rnacentral:rRNA from 1 species
AUUGAACGCUGGCGGCAGGCCUAACACAUGCAAGUCGAGCGGAUGACGGGAGCUUGCUCCUUGAUUCAGCGGCGGACGGGUGAGUAAUGCCUAGGAAUCUGCCUGGUAGUGGGGGACAACGUUUCGAAAGGAACGCUAAUACCGCAUACGUCCUACGGGAGAAAGCAGGGGACCUUCGGGCCUUGCGCGAUCAGAUGAGCCUAGGUCGGAUUAGCUAGUAGGUGAGGGAAUGGCUCACCUAGGCGACGAUCCGUAACUGGUCUGAGUGGAUGAUCAGUCACACUGGAACUGAGACACGGUCCAGACUCCUACGGGAGGCAGCAGUGGGGAAUAUUGGACAAUGGGCGAAAGCCUGAUCCAGCCAUGCCGCGUGUGUGAAGAAGGUCUUCGGAUUGUAAAGCACUUUAAGUUGGGAGGAAGGGCAGUAAGCUAAUACCUUGCUGUUUUGACGUUACCGACAGAAUAAGCACCGGCUAACUCUGUGCCAGCCGCCGCAGUAACAC